UACGUAGGGGGCAAGCGUUGUCCGGAUUUAUUGGGCGUAAAGAGCGUGUAGGCGGCCAAGCAGGUCCGCUGUGAAAACUCGAGGCUCAACCUCGAGACGUCGGUGGAAACCGUUUGGCUAGAGUCCGGAAGAGGAGAGUGGAAUUCCUGGUGUAGCGGUGAAAUGCGUAGAUAUCAGGAGGAACACCGGUGGCGAAGGCGGCUACCUGGACAGAAACUGACGCUGAGGCGCGAAAGCUAGGGGAGCAAACAGG
rnacentral:rRNA from 1 species